rnacentral:lncRNA from 1 species
AGGAAACGAACACACCCUCGAUACCAUUAUCAAGAACCCAAAGUAAAAUAGUGAAACACCACGUUGGCAGCUACGCUAUGCCUACACGUACCCGGAGAGAUCUGAGUAGCUGACAAACAAUACUAUGAAGCUAGUACAGCGGAUAGGAUUCUAAUACCUCAAGUAUUCACUUGUAAUGGGAAAAAAAAGGAAAAGGAACACAGGAUAAUUCACUUAAUCUGCUUGGGGCUGUUUCGUCCUGACUAUAUAUGUUCGACUGGCCGUCAAAAUUACAACACACAAAUACAAGCAAACUAAAUGUUGGAUUAAAUCACACCAGAAGCUCAACAGCAUUGCAAUUCCGAGAAGAAUGCUUCCGUAAAAAAACGAGAUGAAUGCAGGGACUAGUCUAGAAACUAGAGGCGGAAGAGAAGAAGAGGCGAGAGGGAGAAGGUUGCCUGACAAAGCACUCCAGCUCGGCGCACUUGAAGACGACGCCGAGGGCCGAGGCGGCCGAAGAGGACGGAGACGUUGGAGCAGGCACGCACGGGACCUGCAAGGCGACGAGCCGGCC